UACGUAGGGAGCAAGCGUUGUCCGGAAUCAUUGGGCGUAAAGCGCGCGUAGGUGGCCAUUUAAGUCCGCUGUGAAAGUCAAAGGCUCAACCUUUGAAAGCCGGUGGAUACUGGGUGGCUAGAGUACGGAAGAGGCGAGUGGAAUUCCUGGUGUAGUGGUGGAAUGCGCAGAUAUCAGGAGGAACACCAAUAGCGAAGGCAGCUCGCUGGGACGUUACUGACACUGAGGCGCGAAAGCGUGGGGAGCGAACAGG
rnacentral:rRNA from 1 species